rnacentral:rRNA from 1 species
AUUGAACGCUGGCGGCAUGCCUUACACAUGCGAGUCGAACGGCAGCACGGGUGCUUGCACCUGGUGGCGAGUGGCGAACGGGUGAGUAAUACAUCGGAACAUGUCCUGUAGUGGGGGAUAGCCCGGCGAAAGCCGGAUUAAUACCGCAUACGAUCUACGGAUGAAAGCGGGGGACCUUCGGGCCUCGCGCUAUAGGGUUGGCCGAUGGCUGAUUAGCUAGUUGGUGGGGUAAAGGCCUACCAAGGCGACGAUCAGUAGCUGGUCUGAGAGGACGACCAGCCACACUGGGACUGAGACACGGCCCAGACUCCUACGGGAGGCAGCAGUGGGGAAUUUUGGACAAUGGGCGAAAGCCUGAUCCAGCAAUGCCGCGUGUGUGAAGAAGGCCUUCGGGUUGUAAAGCACUUUUGUCCGGAAAGAAAUCCUUGGCUCUAAUACAGCCGGGGGAUGACGGUACCGGAAGAAUAAGCACCGGCUAACUACGUG